UACGGAGGGUGCAAGCGUUAUCCGGAUUCACUGGGGUUAAAGGGUGCGUAGGAGGGCAGGUAAGUCAGUGGUGAAAUCCCCGAGCUUAACUUGGGAACUGCCGUUGAUACUAUCUGUCUUGAAUGCUGUGGAGGUGAGCGGAAUAUGUCAUGUAGCGGUGAAAUGCUUAGAUAUGACAUAGAACACCAAUUGCGAAGGCAGCUCGCUACACAGUUAUUGACUCUGAGGCACGAAAGCGUGGGGAUCAAACAGG
rnacentral:rRNA from 1 species